UACGUAGGUGGCAAGCGUUGUCCGGAUUUACUGGGCGUAAAGCGCGCGCAGGCGGGCUGGUCAGUCCGGGGUGAAAUCUCACGGCUCAACCGUGAGCGGUCCCCGGAUACUGCCAGUCUUGAGGUGUCUAGAGGAGAGCGGAAUUCCCGGUGUAGUGGUGGAAUGCGUAGAGAUCGGGAAGAACAUCAGUGGCGAAGGCGGCCUGCUGGGCUGUUGCUGACGCUGAGGCGCGACAGCGUGGGGAGCAAACAGG
rnacentral:rRNA from 1 species